rnacentral:rRNA from 1 species
GGUUAAGCGACUAAGCGUACACGGUGGAUGCCCUGGCAGUCAGAGGCGAUGAAGGGCGUGCUAAUCUGCGAUAAGCGCCGGUAAGGUGAUAUGAACCGUUAUAACCGGCGAUACCCGAAUGGGGAAACCCAGUGUGACUCGUCACACUAUCAUUAACUGAAUCCAUAGGUUAAUGAGGCGAACCGGGGGAACUGAAACAUCUAAGUACCCCGAGGAAAAGAAAUCAACCGAGAUUCCCCCAGUAGCGGCGAGCGAACGGGGAGGAGCCCAGAGCCUGAAUCAGCAUGUGUGUUAGUGGAAGCGUCUGGAAAGGCGCGCGAUACAGGGUGACAGCCCCGUACACAAAAGCGCAUGUGCUGUGAGCUCGAUGAGUAGGGCGGGACACGUGGUAUCCUGUCUGAAUAUGGGGGGACCAUCCUCCAAGGCUAAAUACUCCUGACUGACCGAUAGUGAACCAGUACCGUGAGGGAAAGGCGAAAAGAACCCCGGCGAGGGGAGUGAAAAAGAACCUGAAACCGUGUACGUACAAGCAGUGGGAGCCCCACCACCAAAGCAUUCUCUGGUGUUGAAGGCCCUGCAAAGCAGCAUCGCGGUGGCGGAGCGUCGUUUGCGACGCCCAACACACAAAACAAGCGGUGAGUGCUUUGGGGUGGGGUGACUGCGUACCUUUUGUAUAAUGGGUCAGCGACUU